ACACUCGAACACUAGAGAGACUCUCUUGUAGUAACAUUUUUCAGCCAUAUUUGUUUCUUCACGGUAUUGGUUUAUUUUGAUUCCCAAUGGAGGACUGAGCAUUGAAACUUCAUAUCUUAGAAAGAAGCACACAGCAACUUGUGUUCGACAUUAUUGGCAUGUAUUUGAAUGGCAGUUUUGGUUUGCACUAAUGGGCUUCCGUAGUUACCAGCUAGAGUCAAAAUGCUUGGGCUGACCGAAGAGAAAAACCAGAAGAUGCUCAAUGAUUUUGCAAGAGCUGAUACAGAAAGAAAAAAACCCAGAUUCGCUGGAAAUGAGCACGUUGCAACGAGAGACGGAUCUGAACCAUUAACCAUUGGAAUGUUGCUUUAUUUGAGACGGAUCUGAACCAUUAACCAUUGGAAUGUUGCUUUAUUUGAGACGGAUCUGAACCAUUAACCAUUGGAAUGUUGCUUUAUUUGAGACGGAUCUGAACCAUUAACCAUUGGAAUGUUGCUUUAUUUGGUAGAUAUCAAACUGUCUUUGCAUAUAUAGUUUCACGUCAUGAUACUUUGAUGCAUUGUUAAUUUGAAAGUAAUUUCUGAAUAAAAAAUAUUUAGCAAUUUA